GUGUCAGCAGCCGCGGUAAGACGGAGGAGGCAAGCGUUAUCCGGAAUUAUUGGGCGUAAAGGGUCCGCAGGUGGCAGUUCAAGUCUGCAGUCAAAGGUCGGGGCUCAACCCCGGAAAGGCUGUGGAAACUGAACAGCUAGAGUACGGUAGGGGCAGAGGGAAUUCCCAGUGUAGCGGUGAAAUGCGUAGAGAUUGGGAAGAACACCGGUGGCGAAAGCGCUCUGCUAGGCCGCAACUGACACUCAGGGACGAAAGCUAGGGGAGCGAAUGGGAUUAGAUACCCCAGUAGUCCUAGCUGUAAACGAUGGAUACUAGGCGUUGCUUGUAUCGACCCAAGCAGUGCCGUAGCUAACGCGUUAAGUAUCCCGCCUGGGGAGUACGCACGCAAGUGUGAAACUCAAAGGAAUUGACGGGG
rnacentral:rRNA from 1 species